AUGGAAUUUAUGGGUUUCAGGCUUGAGCUACGGCCCUGUUCAUUAGCGCCGCGACCCGCUUGAGCUUUUAGGCCAAAGGGACUUCGAAGAAUUGCCCAGGCGCCACAGCGCAAGGUUUGGGCGCCAUGGCCCGUGUCGCCCAGCAGAGAGGCAUUCUACCUCUAACUUAGGGCGCGUUGCGACCCUUAAGGGGGGCUGGGCUGCGGCCCAAAUGCAUAAUUUUGGCUUUUUGAGGGUUUUUAGCUCGGGAACUUGAACGUUAAGGCUCGGGAAGAUUUCUACUACCCAAUUUGGUAGAAACCAAGGUCCCAGAGGCUAGAUUUAUGUCCCGAAGUUAUUUAUUGGAUUAGAGCUUGAUGGAUGGCUAUUGUGAAUGCGUUGUGACUAAAUUUUCAGCGAGGCUCGGGUUAGAGGAUUGUGCUCGGGAUUGCGAUGCUCAAGAAGCUCGAGACAUAGGCUGGGAACGGUGAAGGCCGAGAACGGCAGGAAGCCGAGUACAACAAGGGGUCGGGAGCAGCGCUAGCACGCAGAGUGCAAAGCCAAGUAUGGCAAGGGGCCGGGAGCAACGAUGAGCACACAGAGUGUGAGCCGUUAGGGCGAGACCCUCUUAGGAUGCUGGAGUCAUUCUCACGAUGAAGACCACAAACCCAGAGCCUGGUAAGGGCAAGGGUAAGGUCGACCAACCAUGAGUAUGGAGAGCGUGGAGCGACGAGUACAUGUUCGGCCUACCUGGCUGCCACAACCAGGGGUAUUUUUGGGAAAUGCAAUGUAUAGACUUGAAUUUGUUGCCUAGUCGACCCUAAAUGUAUUUUGAGUUGUAAAAUAUUUUCUAAACAGUAUAUUGGGAU